GCCAGUGUGGUAUAGUGGUUUGUGUGUUGGACUAGGAUACUGGGAAACCAGGGUUAGAGUCCCUGCUCAGUCA